rnacentral:rRNA from 1 species
AACGAACGCUGGCGGCAUGCCUAACACAUGCAAGUCGAACGAGACCUUCGGGUCUAGUGGCGCACGGGUGCGUAACGCGUGGGAACCUGCCCUUAGGUUCGGAAUAACUCCCCGAAAGGGGUGCUAAUACCGGAUAAUGUCUUCGGACCAAAGAUUUAUCGCCUUUGGAUGGGCCCGCGUUGGAUUAGCUAGUUGGUAGGGUAAAAGCCUACCAAGGCGACGAUCCAUAGCUGGUCUGAGAGGAUGAUCAGCCACACUGGGACUGAGACACGGCCCAGACUCCUGCGGGAGGCAGCAGUAGGGAAUAUUGGACAAGGGGCGAAAGCCUGAUCCAGCAAUGCCGCGUGAGUGAUGAAGGCCUUAGGGUUGUAAAGCUCUUUUACCCGGGAUGAUAAUGACAGUACCGGGAGAAUAAGCUCCGGCUAACUCCGUG